GGCGCCAGCGCGGGAGAGUGCGGACGUGGCAACACGCGCCGCCGCCGAAGGAGCAAGCCGCCCCCGGAAUCUCUCAGGCCCAAGGACCGCGCCGGCGUA
rnacentral:ncRNA from 1 species